rnacentral:rRNA from 1 species
CCUACGGGAGGCAGCAGUGAGUAAUAUUGGUCAAUGGACGAGAGUCUGAACCAGCCAAGUAGCGUGAAGGAUGACUGCCCUAUGGGUUGUAAACUUCUUUUAUAUGGGAAUAAAAUGUUCCACGUGUGGGAUUUUGUAUGUACCAUAUGAAUAAGGAUCGGCUAACUCCGUGCCAGCAGCCGCGGUAAUACGGAGGAUCCGAGCGUUACCCGGAUUUAUUGGGUUUAAAGGGAGCGUAGGUGGGUUGUUAAGUCAGUUGUGAAAGUUUGCGGCUCAACCGUAAAAUUGCAGUUGAAACUGGCAGUCUGGAGUACAGUAGAGGUGGGCGGAAUUCGUGGUGUAGCGGUGAAAUGCUUAGAUAUCACGAAGAACUCCGAUUGCGAAGGCAGCUCACUGGACUGCAACUGACACUGAGGCUCGAAAGUGUGGGUAUCAAACAGGAUUAGAUACCCCAGUAGUC